ensembl:lncRNA
UAUCAAGUUGUUAUUAACUAUUAUGACCAUUCCAGUUAGGUUGCGGUUUCUCAUGACUUUGGCUCAUUUUAAUCAUUUCUUGUGCUUCACUUCAGCUAACGUGAAGCACAAGAUGUCUUUGUCCUGCACGUAACCACAUUCCAUCAACAUUCAGCUUCUACAAACAAAAUGUCAUGAGCUUGGACACAGCAGGCAUGCUACCUACCACAGGAUUGGGCCUCAGUUGCUUGUAAAUGUGUCUUGGUUCCAUGGAAGCAUAUUUUUAUCUGAAUUGUGGAUAUAAAUGUAGCUGGAAAGAGCUUGUCUGUGCUUAUUUUGCCUGUUGUUUUGACCAAUCGUCAUAUCUUUUUGUGUGCCUGUCACUGUGUGCCAUUGUUGUGACCCCUAGACUCAUAUUUUGCUCAGCUUCAAGCUCAUCCUGUUUCCACAGCAACCAGGGGAGGCGACUGUUUACAGAGCUGAUUUUAGGUGCUUACAGUGGAGAGUGCACACCUGAAAUAACAACAUGCAAAUUGCCAUGCCAUCAAAUAAACAACCUGGGGAAAAAAAAAAAAAAAAAAAAAGGAGGGUUUAUAAUCAGAAGGUUAUUUUCUUUUAGAAAUCAUCUGAUCCCUUCUGCCACCUCUUCUGUGCUGUCUGGCACUACGAUAUAAACCUGUUUACUUAUACUUUCUCAUUCCAGAAUGUACUUAAAUGGAAAGCAAAUCUGAGUUACAAGCAAUCAAAGCUCUGCUCUAUCUUAUUUUUUUUCCAGCUUGUAGGACAGAAAAAUAGCUUAUUUCUUGUUCUGUGUUGUAAGUGUCCCUCCUGUCGUACAAAAUGAAUGCCAGGAGUCAUGAGAAAAAGUUAUGAUAUAGCUUGCCUUUUUGCACUUCAGGAAUUAACUAUUCAACACCUAACCCAGGUUGCCUAUGAGAAAGAUUUUGAGAGAGCUUUAUUUUUUUAAAUCUUGGGUCGAAAGUCAUGCGUAACUAGAGUCAGUACAAGACUGUGAAAUGGCCUGGUUACUUAGAAAACAGUUUUCAGCUGUUUGAUGUGGAAAGCCAGAAUUCAGACACAUAGCUUUUCUACUUCUCCUUUUGUGGUCUGAAAAGAUGGUGUUAAUUGUCUGGUAAAACCGGGUAUCUAUGUUCCUCUGAUGUUCUCUAGCAGGAUGGUGGUACUGAGGUCCUGACGUGAAUAGCCAUGUGGAUGGGGCUGUCAUUGCCAGGUCGCUGGGCUGGGAAGCUCAGCCUGACAGUGGGAUUUCAAUGCAGGGGGAUAUGAGGUAAGGCAGCCUCCUUAUUUUUCCAAGGGGGUGGUUUGCAUGGAUGAAUGUCUGUCCAUUCCCAGCAAGGACACAAAGGAAAUCAUUUGCAAAAAUGCAAAGGGAAAUGCAGCUUUUCGUAGGGAGCAGCAAAGCCUGCCACAAAGGCAGGUGUAUAGCUCCCUUCAUGCCCACUGAGGUUGGUGUGCUGGUCUGAUGUGACAACCAGACCUCCAGCUGCUGACGUACCUCCAGCUUCACUACCUGACUGCUGUAUGCUACAACACCUAUUGAUUUGUGCACUUUGCAGGGCCAUUUUGUGCAUUGUGGGUGCUGUAACUCUGGGUUUGGUUGGAAAAAAUGGAGACUGAUUUAGUCACAAAGUGAAAUGUCCUGCCCACACAUGUUAAACCUUGAGCCUGCUGCUUUUGCCUGUAUCUCACACUGAUGAGUCCUACACUUGAUGAAAUUAAUGGGAAUUUUGGCAUUAACAUCAAAGACCAGAGGAAAAAAAAAAUUGCAGGAAAAAAAAGAAGUUGUUUUGGAGUCAGAGUAAAUAUCUCUGUCUUGGAAGAAAGAAUAGUCCUUGGCUUCACUAGAAAAGGUGGUUGUAAAUCAUACUUGCUCUCUGGUGCUGCUGGCUUGGGACAGAUUAGACCUUGAAAUAAAUAAAAGCAGCUCUGAGGCAGCUCUUGGAUUUAUCCCAGCUGUUCAUGGCCUCAACUAGAGACCCUUGGGUGUCUAAGGCUUUAAACCAGGCUCAGAAUACACAAGCUUCUAGCAGUCAAGCCAGCAUGCCUUAUUUCGUUCCUGUCUUGGGAGAAGCAAAACUCCUUGGCAGUGGUAAUAACUGAUACUUCUGUAGGAGGGAGCAGGCUGAGGGCUGAGAAGGGGGAUGAAGUACAGGGGAGUAUUUCUGCUGCUACCAGAUCUGACAUGUAAUUUUUAUCCUGGAGUAAGCAAAACUUCAGCUAUCCACAGAACGGAUUUCCUGAGUGAGCUUUAAAACUUCACCCAUAAGAGACUUCUGGAAGACCUUGGAGCUCAAAACGAUGAAUCUGCGAUCAUUGUAUCUGCUAAUCCAUAUAUUUCAUAUAUACAUACUUAGAUUUACAUAUAAGUGACUGUCACUACAGAAUGUGCAAACUCCAGCAAUACCUUCCCCACCCUGUAUGGAAAUUCUUGUGCAAUGUUUCAGGGAAGUCUCCAGGCAGUCCUGAAGCAGUAGCAUGCAUCCUAAACAAAACUGUGAUUGCAAACCAACUAAGCAAAUGUAGUCAAGGUGUACAACACAGAAGUGCACCACCUGUAGAAAGUGUGUGAUGGGUCUUUCCCUAUGUGAGUUUUCAUUAAGCAUCAUAUGCCUAAGAGUAACAGAUACUCUUUAAACUUUCUACAAAGACUACAAGAGAAUGCCAAGUGGAAAGAAUUGUGUGUCAUGAUCUGUUUUAAUGUUUCCCUCUCUUGUUUGCCAUCUAACAGCUAGGAUACUUCAAUGAAUGAGCAUCCUUUGCAGAAACUUCCUCUCUAGCUUUAUAUUACUAUACUGUAAUUUGGCAGAGACAUUUCAGAAAGCUGUGAUCUACCUAGAUCUUUCAAAGACAGUAUGCUGAGACCAGAGGUGACCUAGAAAUCCAGAGUCAUCAUUGGUUGAUGGAUCACUAGAGCUAACAGUAACAGGAAUGUUAGGCGCUGCAUUUUCAGCGUACCUGAAAAUACAUAGAACAUAUAUGACAUGUGAUACAGCUUAAAAUAGAAGUGAGUAAAGCUGGCCCAGAUAACACGUUAUGAUCCUAUUAUCAGAACCAUUGCUGACUUUUAAUGUGUAUGACAAAGUGGGAAGGAAAAUAAAGGAUACAUCCCAAACAGCAAAGAAAUAAAAGAACAUGUACAGGAGGUCUGGUGUGCUGUGUAUUGCCCAAGGAUUCAGUGCUAGUAAGGAGGAGCACAGAGGUCUGUGUUUGCAGACCUCCACUGCUACCAAAAGGGGAGCAUCAGGUGCAGACCCUGCUGGCCUGCCAUGCCAUGCACUCCCAUCGUCACUGCGUGGGUCAGCCAGCCUGUGAUGAGGACAGCAGGAUGUGGUGCAGGUGGCUGGGAGAGGGGGAAGGAGGAACAAUGCAGCCAUUCAUUUCCUGCUAUUCAGAGGUAUUCUCACAGUCCCAUCUCAGCAUAUAAAUCAGAGCGGCAGAUACACGCUGCAUUUUCUGUCUGGAAAUGCAGUCUUUGUGUCUCUUUUUAGUGUGUGACUCUUCUAAGGCCUGACAUGCUGAAGGGUUACAACCAGUGCCAGCCAGCUGCUAGCUAGAGUGGGAGUGAGCAUCCGUGACCCCUGCUGACUUUCAGGGUGGGUGGAUGCAGGUACAGAUGGAAAGCAGGGCUGUGGAGACCAGAGAGCAAAAUGUUUUACAUCUCGGACAAGAGGCUUGCUUGGCCUUUGGUUUCCUUCCUGUCAUUCCACCCACAUAAGAAAAAAAAAAAUAAAAUUGACUGUCCCUGGUUUUGAAGUGGGUGGGAGUAAGCCUAACAGCACCGCUAUUACUAACAAUUUAAGAAAUCCCUUUGAAACAUUAUAUUUAAAAUAGCCAGUUCCCUAUGUUCCUAUCUGUCUGACCGGUUACCUUGGUUUAAAAUGUGUCUGAUAGAAAUAAAUGUAAUGGGAGGAAAUAACAAGAUCUAGGAGGAUUUACUGGCCAUGAGAAUUACCGAUUCUGUGGAGAAGGGUGGAUGUAGCUAACAAAAGAUGUUCUCAAAUGCAAUUACAUGUUGCCAGUGUUUCUUCUGUCUGUCCUUAAAUGUGAUUCUAUUAAGCUCAGAGAUACAUUUGGUUUCCUUCUUUAUGCUGCGGAAGGUACACAUUAGGAUAGAAAUAGGACAUACGCAGCUAAGGAAAUUAGCUUCCUGAUAGCAGAUGCUUCCAUGUAAUUACAGUGUCCAUAAAUGAAUAAGCUGCUCAGAUGGAUGAAUGAGAUUCUCUAAUAUAGAUGCUGUGCAGCAUUUAUAGAAAACCAACAUUGUAUUUGGGAAGCAGGGCACAAUUUGACCUGUCAAGAUAUGAGGCAGCUCUGGAACAUGCAACCCCAAAUUCUGCUGCAGAUUUCAGUUUAUUUUGGCCUUAAUACCAGAGGGUGACUUCAUGUUUCACCACACCCUUACUCUCUGCAUUACCUGAAUAAGAGCUCCAAUUCCAGCCUGGUUUGAAUGAAAGAUGUAUUUGACCAAACUAAAUAUUAUUUCAGAGCUAUUUGUUUGUUUGUUUGUUUUCAUGAGAAAAAAAGAUCUUUCAGUUAUACUGGAGGAAAAAAAAUGUUUUGGCACUUAAAAAUACAGACAUUUUGAAAGAUGAAUGCCAUUAAUAGUGUUGUUACUUUUAUUAACUUUACUAUUAAAUUAAGACCUUAGAUAGAAGCACUUAUUCUGUUUCUAAAAAGUGAAGUAUUCUGACCUGUAACGUUCUCUCUAUUUUUUAGAGCUCAUCAAGAAUUAAAAAGAGAAAAAGAGAUGCAUAUUAACACAUUUUUUUUUUCCUUCAGAAUGACCAUGUAAGCAUUUACUAACCUAAUUGUCCCUAUCAAAUCAUGCGGCAGUAUGACAUUCAUGCUCACCUUGUCUGACUCUUCUCAUUCUUCCCAGUGAAAUGUGAAUAGCUCUGGAAACAGCGCUCAUUAAAGCUAUCACAAAAUCUUCUAAAACCUCCUGUUGACCAUUUUCUUUGUAUCUGGACCUUUCUUCCUUUCCCAUUGCUUUUUCUGCUUCAUUAUCCCAUCAGUGUGAUGAGAUAACGCUCAUUUACACUGCCUGGAAAGUAUCUCCCAUCUGUGCAUACCUCUGACUCCCUUGAAAUUCCCUGAUUUUGGUUUACUUAUGCUGUAAUAU